rnacentral:rRNA from 1 species
AGUGAACGCUGGCGGCAGGCCUAAUACAUGCAAGUCGAACGGCAGCACAGCAGAGCUUGCUCUGUGGGUGGCGAGUGGCGGACGGGUGAGGAAUACAUGGGAAUCUGCCCAGUCGUGGGGGAUAACGUAUGGAAACGUACGCUAAUACCGCAUGCGCUCUACGGGGGAAAGUCGGGGACCGCAAGGCCUGACGCGAUUGGAUGAGCCCAUGUUCGAUUAGCUAGUUGGCGGGGUAAAGGCCCACCAAGGCGACGAUCGAUAGCUGGUCUGAGAGGAUGAUCAGCCACACUGGAACUGAGACACGGUCCAGACUCCUACGGGAGGCAGCAGUAGGGAAUAUUGGACAAUGGGGGCAACCCUGAUCCAGCCAUGCCGCGUGAGUGAAG